UACUUUUAAAAUAAACGGUUCAUAAAUUAUUUGAAGAGGUUCCCUCUAUUUUUAGAAAUUAGAUUGGCAGCAGAAGAGUAUAGGGUUUUUUAGUUUCUUAAGUCUUGCGCGAGUCGAUUUUGCCUACUCUAAUGUUUGCACUUCCGUCGUGACGCUUAGACAGUGAAGAUGUGCAUCUGUACCAAAGACAGUUUUUCCUUUAUAUUAUUCAACUUGUAUUUAUUCAGUUUGUGCUUAUUAUGCUAUCUAUUAUUAUAUCUAACUCCCAAUUCGACGACCAGUGCUAUAAUUUUAAAUGCUCCUCACUUAAGGAUGAUUCAAGGGUUACAAAAAAAUUUUCCAGCAUUGCAAAAAUCGUGCAGCAAGAGGAAAAGUGGAACGGAACAAGUUGCAUCACGUCACGCCCACGUUUAGCGAAUUUGAACGCGGGCCAGCUAAAUCUGCAUUGUUCCGUUGAGAAGACAGGAUCUGAUUAUCCCUGCAAGAUUCGGCGUGGAUCCGCGAGAAGUCAACGUUCCGUUAAAAUCUAAGUUCCAGUCGCCAUUUUGUAGUGCAGUGAUUUAAACGACGGCAUUAGCCAGCGGAAUUUUCACUUACAGUGUAAUUUGUACGUAAUAACGGAGCUAAGAGGUAGCACUGACUCACGUCGUUGAUAAAUUGAUGUUUUAAUGAAAAGGAAAGGUAUUCUUAAGUAGCGAUGAAUCGCUUCACCGUUAAACUACGAGUUAACGACUGCGCUAAUGACCGAUAAUAGAUUCACUUUGUUCUUCAUUUUAUCGGCAUAGCAACGGUGUGGAUGACAAGUGCAAAGGAAGAUGGAAAAGGGAUCAGAAAGGGGUCAAAAGGAAGAUGGAAAAGUGAUCAGAAAGUAGUCAAAAAGAAAAUGGAACACACUGAAGAUGGAGAAGUUGUAUGAAAUUGUAUGAAAGUUGAGAUUGUGUGAUAUUGACUGUGUUAAUAAUUUCUGAUAUGUUGUAUGUUUGUUAAUCGUUUAUAUAUUAUUGUUACAUAGACACAUUGUAAGAAUAGCAUUGUAACUUCAAUCUAAGCAUACAGAGGUUACAAUGCUGUUCAUAAAUAAGCGCCAAUUUAUUAAUUGUUGUAAGAACAGCAUUGUAACUUCAAUCUAAGCAUACAAAAGUUACAAUGCUGUUCAUAAAUAAGUGCCAAUUUAUAAAUUGUUGUAAGAACAGCAUUAUAACUUCAAUUUAAGCAUACAGAAGUUACAAUGCUGUUCAUAAAUAAGCGCCAAUUUAUAAAUUGUUGUAAGAACAGCAUUGUAACUUCAAUCUAAGCAUACAAAAGUUACAAUGCUGUUCAUAAAUAAGUGCUAAUUUAUAAAUUAUUGUAAGAACAGCAUUGUAACUUCAAUCUAAGCAUACAAAAGUUACAAUGCUGUUCAUAAAUAAGCGCCAAUUUAUAAAUUGUACAUUUAUAUAUUAAUGUAUUAAUUUAUUGUUAAUUAUAUUUAAGCUUGAGUUGAACAUAACUUACAAAAUAUUGUUUGUAUGAUAGCAUUAAUAGCGAAACUAAUGUAAAUUGCGUUUUAUAUUGUUUGUAAGAUAGCAUUAAUAGCGAAACUAAUGUAAGUUGCGUUUUAUAUUAUAAAUUAAGUAAUGUAGCUAUAAGUUAAGUUAAGUUACUCGAUGUAUGACAAAGGAAAAU
rnacentral:lncRNA from 1 species